AACGCGAAGAACCUUACCAGGUCUUGACAUCCCGCUGACAUCUUUAGAGAUAAAGAGUUCCUUCGGGACAGCGGUGACAGGUGGUGCAUGGUUGUCGUCAGCUCGUGUCGUGAGAUGUUGGGUUCAGUCCCGCAACGAGCGCAACCCUUAUUUUUAGUUGCCAGCAUUAAGUUGGGCACUCUAGAGAGACAGCCGGCGAAAGCCGGAGGAAGGUGGGGAUGACGUCAAAUCAUCAUGCCCCUUAUGACCUGGGCUACACACGUGCUACAAUGGCUGCUACAAAGGGACGCGAUCCCGCGAGGGGGAGCAAAUCCCAGAAAAACAGUCACAGUUCGGAUCGCAGGCUGCAACUCGCCUGCGUGAAGUCGGAAUCGCUAGUAAUCGCAGAUCAGCAUGCUGCGGUGAAUACGUUCCCGGGCCUUGUACACACCGACUGUAC
rnacentral:rRNA from 1 species